AUAACAAUACAGGACUCUUUCGAGGCCCUGUAAUUGGAAUGAGUACACUUUAAAUCCUUUAACGAUCUUUAACGAUCUAUUGGAGGGCAAGUCUGGUGCAAAGCGACUGACCCGUGCGUGCUGCAGCUGAAA
rnacentral:rRNA from 1 species